GUGAGGAUAGGCUAUGGUUKWACUCUUAUKGGAGAAAGCCSUUBGAGGWAGUGACGDCUAUAUGSAUAGCACGGCUAACUCGUGCCAGCAGCCGCGGUAAUACGGAGGGUGCAAGCGUUAUCCGGAUUUAUUGGGUUUAAAGGGUGCGUAGGCGGUUUAUUAAGUCAGUGGUGAAAGACUGGUCGCUCAACGAUUGCAGUGCCAUUGAUACUGGUAGACUUGAGUUGGAUUGAGGUAGCUCGGAAUGGAUAGUGUAGCGGUGGAAAUGCAUAGAUAUUAUCCAGAACACCAAUUGG
rnacentral:rRNA from 1 species